rnacentral:lncRNA from 1 species
AAGCAAACUUUUCCCACCAUUCUCUCUGUCGCAUUCAUUUAGUUUGGGAAUGGGUUUCGCUAUGUUGCAUAGACUGACCCCACCCUCUCUGUAUAGCUCAUGCUGGCACUUAAUUUGAGAUUCUUCCGCCCUGGGCCCUUGAGCACUGGAAUUACACACCUGUGUCACCACAUCCAUCUCUCUGUCUUGUUAAUAGUAAUUUGGUUCCUCUCUUUCCUCUGGAACAUCUUCACUGUGUCAUUUUUUUUGACUCCUUCCUCCCUCUCUGCCAGCACCCAAGGGAACGUUCCAUCAACAAAUUCAAUGUCAGUUCUACCUUAAAAAUAAAUUCUAGACUGAGGAGACAGCUCGGCCAAUAAAAUGCUUGCUGAGCAAGCAUGGGAGUCAGCGAUUGGUUCUCCCAGGUACUAGGUAAAACCCUGCAAUCCCAGCCUGGUGAAGGCCAGAGACAGGAUUCCUGGAGCAAGCUGGCCAGCCAGAUGAUGAGCCGUAUUGCCAAGUUCUGUGUUCAAAGGAGAGACCUUGUGUCUAAAUGCAAAGUAGCGGGAGUGUGAUUGAGAAAGAUAGCGCGCGCGCACACACACACACACACAAACACACACACACACACAAAGCCAUACAUGCACAUGUGCACACUAUACACUAUAUCCACAUGUAAAAAUAAAUUCCAACAGCAUUCGCAUAAUCCUUGGGUUCAGCUCCGAGUGCAGAAAAGAGAAAGCAGAUGAGGAAGUAAACCGUAAACCCCAGCACAUGUUCAUCAGUGUCUUGGUGCCUCCUUCCCCUAAACUACGUCAUUUGGUCCCUGCUUGAAGCCUGUUGCUAUAGCCAGAGGCUGGGGGCGUGGCUCAGCCAGUUGCUAGUAGUUCCUAGCAUGCACAAAGUUCCGUUCCCAGAACUGUGUAAAACCAGACACAGUGAUGCAUGCCUGGAAUCCCACUGCUCUGGAGGUAGAAGCAGGAGAACCAGAAGUUAAAAUUCAUCCUACUUUACAUUGUGAGUUCAAGGCCAGCCUGAGAUGCAUGAGAUCAUGUCGCAAAGAACAAAUGAAAAAAAUAAGUCCAAUUGUGCCACCCCUGUGCUCAAAACCUUUAACUAGACAGCUACGGUAACAUAUGCCUAUCAUCCCAGGACUGGGAGACUGAAGCAGGAGGAAUGGGCCAGCCUGGCCUACAUAGUAAGUUCAAGUCAGAGUGAUCUAUGUUUCAUGACCAUAUCUCAAAGAGGCAAAAAUAAGCAUUGCAUGUAUUAAAAGAAAUGUGUGUUGAAUGCAGAAAGAAUUUGGAACUGUUUAUCCAAGUUUGAAGGAGACCAGAGACUUGGGGAAGCCCCUAAAGACUUAACAAGAUCGGGGUUACGCUUUGUAUUGGGUGAGACUGGUGUGGAGUACCUUCUGGUGUGCUGGGUUGGCUCUGUAGUUAGAGGCUGCAUGGGAAGGAAGAUCUUCCUGAGCAUUAUGUAACAGAUGUGGUCUUGUGUAAAUCACACUUCUGUAAACACAGCCCAAUUUUAAAUGUACUAGCGGAGAUUGCUAUUUAAAGGCUUGUGAUGCCAGUCUCUUCUAUGAAGUGACUAAGGCAUCUCUUCAUUUUGCGCUCUGUGUCAAUUUCUAUUCUCCAUGAAGAAACAUUACAUUUACUU